rfam:Roseburia sp. 499 contig000039, whole genome shotgun sequence.
UCUGGUGGUGAUGCGCUUAGGGGACACACCCGUUCCCAUCCCGAACACGAUGGUUAAGACCUAAGCGGCCGAUGGUACUAUGCUGGAGACGGCAUGGGAGAGUAGGUGGCUGCCAGAU